rnacentral:misc_RNA from 1 species
GGGGGUUAUUAUCUUACAUUCUUCAAAAUCCAUUUUACAUCAAUUGUAUCUCUCUCAUAGUUUACCAUACUUAGUUUCUUUCAUAUUUUCGCUGCUACCCCUAUUUGUAGGGGUCACAAGAAACUCUCGUUGCUAUUGUUAUUCAUGGCUGUAGGGUAAAUACUUUUUGCUAAGAUGCGAACAUUUUAACAGUUUCCUCGGUUACAAAGUUUUAACCUAUAACAAGUAUUUAGGCUAGCUAUUGAAUAUGGAUGCCCACAUUCUAUGAAAUGGACAACUUUCUGUGGCGGGAGCAGCAAUUUGUCCUUCCAUUGUAGUUUCAACUGAUGGUCCGACUUCAUGAACGAAUUUGACAGAUUCCGAUAGUCGAUUGAGUAGGUUCAUGAGGGCAAUUACUUCAUUUCUUUGCAGAUCCAGACCCAAGUGUUCUUGAUAAUCAUCACCAGAAAAGAGGAUCUUCAAUGCAGUACCAAGACCAAGAACCUGAAGCUUCCCCCAAAGACGACAUUUCUCACAUCCGACACAAUCCAUCAGUGCACUGAUGUUUCUGAAUUGCUUUUGUAUUUGCUGCUUCAGUUCUGGUCCUUUUUGACCUUUCCAUAACUUGGCUUCAUCAAAUGGAAGUGGGCACGCAGCUUGUAAUUUGGAAUUGAAAAGCAGCUGUUUCAUCAAGGAUUGUGUCUUCAGGUCUUCAUUCAAGUUACCAGUAUCAUAUUCGGCAUGCUCUAGGUAUUCCGUAGCUUUUGUCACAGCUCGGAGAACAAAGAGAUAUGUGAAGUACAGGUUUCUAACA